rnacentral:rRNA from 1 species
CGAAAGCCUGACGGAGCAAUACCGCGUGAGGGAGGAAGGCUCUUGGGUCGUAAACCUCUUUUCUCAGGGAAGAACACAAUGACGGUACCUGAGGAAUCAGCAUCGGCUAACUCCGUGCCAGCAGCCGCGGUAAUACGGAGGAUGCAAGCGUUAUCCGGAAUGAUUGGGCGUAAAGCGUCCGCAGGUGGCAGUGAAAGUCUGCUGUCAAAGGUCAGGGCUCAACCCUGAACAGGCAGUGGAGACUACACAGCUAGAGUGCGGUGGGGGCAGAGGGAAUUCCCAGUGUAGCGGUGAAAUGCGUAGAGAUUGGGAAGAACACCGGUGGCGAAAGCGCUCUGCUAGGCCGUAACUGACACUCAUGGACGAAAGCUAGGGGAGCG